GUUUCUGCUUGAAUUUGUUUGCAAGAUGUCAGAAUAGCCUCCCAGAGCUGCUGUUUGGAUGUAAACUGCCUCCCACCCUCAUAGAUCUUUUGCUUGAGGAUGCUCCAAAGGUUCUCAAUAGGAUUGAGGUUAGGGGAGGAUGGAAGCCACACCAUGACUUUCUCUCCUUUUAUCCCCAUAGCAGCCAUUGAUGCAGAGGUAUUCUUUGC